rnacentral:rRNA from 1 species
UACAGGGGGGGCAAGCGUUGUUCGGAAUUACUGGGCGUAAAGGGUUUGUAGGUGGCUUGUUAAGUCAGACGUGAAAUCCCUCAGCUUAACUGGGGAACUGCGUCUGAUACUGGAUGGCUUGGAUCCGGAAGAGGGAUGCGGAAUUCCAGGUGUAGCGGUGAAAUGCGUAGAUAUCUGGAGGAACACCGGUGGCGAAGGCGGCAUCCUGGGCCGGUAUUGACGCUGAGGAGCGAAAGCCAGGGGAGCAAACGGG